UUUCCGCACUGGGCCCGCGAAGGGGUCCAAUCCAGCCCGCGGGAUGAUUUCCCCAAUGCCAGAGCGGUCUGCAGCUGUCACCGGUGCCGGAUCGGGCUGCAGAUGUCCCCGGUACCGGGGUG